rnacentral:lncRNA from 1 species
AGAGCCCACAUGCAAGAUCAGAAGCUGUUAUCUUGAAAAGCUCUCUCUUUCGAAAUUGCAUGUGCGAGCACCGUUCACAUGUGAGCUUUUCUCUCUGCAAACAUAGCUUACGGCUAGCCCUUCGAGAACCUUCUUAGCUCUCUCAUACACAGCUUUUGGAGGGGUAAAAUAGUUAGGCUAAGUGCAUGCUGCACAGAACAAAAAUUGCAUUCAAGGUUUGAAGACUUAAUUGAUGUGCGUGUAGAAAAUAUACAAAAACAAAAAAAAACGUGGUGAAAAGUUUGCAAAACCAUAAAAGGGAACAUAACCCAAAUAAAAAAACAAUAUAAAAGUGUUGUGGCUGCAAGACGAAACAAAAAAACCAACCCCUGGAUAAGGUACGCCAAGAGAAAAAAAAUGAAAAAGUGACCUUAUUACAUAAUUCCAUGUAUGUACUGUACAUAGGUUAUGAUCCACGUGUGGCAGGAAAUUGCUGACCUGGCCUGACCCUCGGUCUCGGAGGGGGGGUCCGCUCCAGUACCACGAUCAUCCGUCCCUCUUUUUGGUGCCACCGGACCUUGCCUGCAGGCGAAAAAAACGGAUGGACCUGGCGAUCGGGACCGAGUUGUUUAUAUACAUAUAUCUCACGCGCAACUAUAAAACCAUCUUUAUAUAUUAUAUCACCGCGCCUUGUGUAAAGAAUUGUUGGUGCUUGCAUAUGUAGGGUGUGGAAAAAUUAGCUCAGCGGUCAUUGCCCUUGCGGCUGACCAUACACCUAUGCGCACUUAAAUAGACCCACCUGACCGUAUGUCACCUAUUCUCUCCUUCUCUCAGGUUAUUAAAAUUGUUCGAUGCCGACAUUCUAAAAGCCACUUAAGGGAAGAAAAGUGAAUCACGAAAAUCUAGAAAAGAAAACUUAAUGAAAAAUUAUGGAUAGAAGAAAAAAAAUAGAAAAGAAAA